rnacentral:lncRNA from 1 species
CCCCCCAAAGCCUCCACAAAUUCUAACAUCUGAAAGUUUGAAAUUCAAAAUCCAAAAGCAAAAACUGAAGUUUAAUCUCUGUUCUUCAAAAAAAUCCCAAAAAAAUAACAGAAAACUUCAAAACAAUACUGUUCUAUUGUAGUUCUUAGAUCAAUUUCAAGUUCCAACUCCUAAUUCAAAUUUCUGGCUUAUCUAAGGUUCAAAAUGGCUUAAUUCUCCUGGUUUGUUCAGUAAUUAAGGUUUAAAAGCUCUUGGAGUCAUUUUCAAGUUGAAUCUGGUCUAUUCGAGUUGGUUAUUUUGGCUGGUUACUGGUUGUGUAAUUGCUGGAUUUUGUCUGGAUAUCAAUCCUGGGAUUUGGGAUCCUUUUUGAGCUUUUGUUACCUGUUGUUUGCUGCUACUGAUUCCUCCUUAUUCAAUUGUGGUAACUUCCAGGUACACUUCAUGUCAUUC